GGUUAAGCGACUAAGCGUACACGGUGGAUGCCCUGGCAGUCAGAGGCGAUGAAGGACGUGCUAAUCUGCGAAAAGCGUCGGUAAGGUGAUAUGAACCGUUAUAACCGGCGAUGUCCGAAUGGGGAAACCCAGUGCAAUUCGUUGCACUAUCGUUAACUGAAUACAUAGGUUAACGAGGCGAACCGGGGGAACUGAAACAUCUAAGUACCCCGAGGAAAAGAAAUCAACCGAGAUUCCCCCAGUAGCGGCGAGCGAACGGGGAGCAGCCCAGAGUCUGAAUCAGCUUGUGUGUUAGUGGAAUGGUCUGGAAAGUCCGACGGUACAGGGUGAUAGUCCCGUACACCAAAAUGCACAGGCUGUGAACUCGAAGAGUAGGGCGGGACACGUGGUAUCCUGUCUGAAUAUGGGGGGACCAUCCUCCAAGGCUAAAUACUCCUGACUGACCGAUAGUGAACCAGUACCGUGAGGGAAAGGCGAAAAGAACCCCGGCGAGGGGAGUGAAAAAGAACCUGAAACCGUGUACGUACAAGCAGUGGGAGCACCUUCGGGUGUGACUGCGUACCUUUUGUAUAAUGGGUCAGCGACUUAUAUUCUGUAGCAAGGUUAACCGUAUAGGGGAGCCGCAGGGAAACCGAGUCUUAACUGGGCGUUAAGUUGCAGGGUAUAGACCCGAAACCCGGUGAUCUAGCCAUGGGCAGGUUGAAGGUUGGGUAACACUAACUGGAGGACCGAACCGACUAAUGUUGAAAAAUUAGCGGAUGACUUGUGGCUGGGGGUGAAAGGCCAAUCAAACCGGGAGAUAGCUGGUUCUCCCCGAAAGCUAUUUAGGUAGCGCCUCGUGAAUUCAUCUUCGGGGGUAGAGCACUGUUUCGGCUAGGGGGUCAUCCCGACUUACCAACCCGAUGCAAACUACGAAUACCGAAGAAUGUUAUCACGGGAGACACACGGCGGGUGCUAACGUCCGUCGUGAAGAGGGAAACAACCCAGACCGCCAGCUAAGGUCCCAAAGUCAUGGUUAAGUGGGAAACGAUGUGGGAAGGCACAGACAGCCAGGAUGUUGGCUUAGAAGCAGCCAUCAUUUAAAGAAAGCGUAAUAGCUCACUGGUCGAGUCGGCCUGCGCGGAAGAUGUAACGGGGCUAAACCAUGCACCGAAGCUGCGGCAGCGACACUAUGUGUUGUUGGGUAGGGGAGCGUUCUGUAAGCCUGCGAAGGUGACCUGUGAGGGUUGCUGGAGGUAUCAGAAGUGCGAAUGCUGACAUAAGUAACGAUAAAGCGGGUGAAAAGCCCGCUCGCCGGAAGACCAAGGGUUCCUGUCCAACGUUAAUCGGGGCAGGGUGAGUCGACCCCUAAGGCGAGGCCGAAAGGCGUAGUCGAUGGGAAACAGGUUAAUAUUCCUGUACUUGGUGUUACUGCGAAGGGGGGACGGAGAAGGCUAUGUUAGCCGGGCGACGGUUGUCCCGGUUUAAGCAUGUAGGCUGGUUGUCCAGGCAAAUCCGGAUAAUCAAGGCUGAGGUGUGAUGACGAGGCACUACGGUGCUGAAGUAACAAAUGCCCUGCUUCCAGGAAAAGCCUCUAAGCAUCAGGUAACAUCAAAUCGUACCCCAAACCGACACAGGUGGUCAGGUAGAGAAUACCAAGGCGCUUGAGAGAACUCGGGUGAAGGAACUAGGCAAAAUGGUGCCGUAACUUCGGGAGAAGGCACGCUGGUGUGUAGGUGAAGUCCCUGCGGAUGGAGCUGAGACCAGUCGAAGAUACCAGCUGGCUGCAACUGUUUAUUAAAAACACAGCACUGUGCAAACACGAAAGUGGACGUAUACGGUGUGACGCCUGCCCGGUGCCGGAAGGUUAAUUGAUGGGGUUAUCCGUAAGGAGAAGCUCUUGAUCGAAGCCCCGGUAAACGGCGGCCGUAACUAUAACGGUCCUAAGGUAGCGAAAUUCCUUGUCGGGUAAGUUCCGACCUGCACGAAUGGCGUAAUGAUGGCCAGGCUGUCUCCACCCGAGACUCAGUGAAAUUGAACUCGCUGUGAAGAUGCAGUGUACCCGCGGCAAGACGGAAAGACCCCGUGAACCUUUACUAUAGCUUGACACUGAACAUUGAGCCUUGAUGUGUAGGAUAGGUGGGAGGCUUUGAAGCGUGGACGCCAGUCUGCGUGGAGCCAACCUUGAAAUACCACCCUUUAAUGUUUGAUGUUCUAACGUUGGCCCCUGACCGGGGUUGCGGACAGUGUCUGGUGGGUAGUUUGACUGGGGCGGUCUCCUCCCAAAGCGUAACGGAGGAGCACGAAGGUUAGCUAAUCCUGGUCGGACAUCAGGAGGUUAGUGCAAUGGCAUAAGCUAGCUUGACUGCGAGCGUGACGGCGCGAGCAGGUGCGAAAGCAGGUCAUAGUGAUCCGGUGGUUCUGAAUGGAAGGGCCAUCGCUCAACGGAUAAAAGGUACUCCGGGGAUAACAGGCUGAUACCGCCCAAGAGUUCAUAUCGACGGCGGUGUUUGGCACCUCGAUGUCGGCUCAUCACAUCCUGGGGCUGAAGUAGGUCCCAAGGGUAUGGCUGUUCGCCAUUUAAAGUGGUACGCGAGCUGGGUUUAGAACGUCGUGAGACAGUUCGGUCCCUAUCUGCCGUGGGCGCUGGAGAAUUGAGGGGGGCUGCUCCUAGUACGAGAGGACCGGAGUGGACGCAUCACUGGUGUUCGGGUUGUCAUGCCAAUGGCACUGCCCGGUAGCUAAAUGCGGAAGAGAUAAGUGCUGAAAGCAUCUAAGCACGAAACUUGCCCCGAGAUGAGUUCUCCCUGAGACUUUAAGUCUCCUGAAGGAACGUUAAAGACGAUGACGUUGAUAGGCCGGGUGUGUAAGCGCAGCGAUGCGUUGAGCUAACCGGUACUAAUGAACCGUGAGGCUUAACCUU
rnacentral:rRNA from 1 species